GAUAAUGCUCGGACAAAUCUGUUUUAUGGGGUAUCACAUGCUUCAAGUGAUUAUAUAAUACACAAAGUUUAUAGUAUAAUUAACUGCAUUGAGAGAGCUUAUGCAGAAAGACAUUGCCAGAAUCUCAAGUGGAAAUCUGGUGAUGUGUUCUAGUGAUGUUGAACAUAAGAAUAAAAUGGUAGCUGUUAUAUAUAAAAUAUUACAAAACUAGCUGUCUGAAUGUGUGCUUUUCACUUUUCAACAAAUUCAUUAAUCAAACAAAAGAUUUUUAUUUAACCACAGUAAAUAUCAAGGCACCAGGAACGGAAAUGCAAUAUUUCUCAAUAGUGAUACCAAAAUCCCUCUUAAGGAAAGAACUAUCUUCGUUUAGAAUGCCUUGCAUAUACAGCUGAAGGUAUAGAUGAGAUUUUAAAGGGAUAUGUACAAGCAGGAGCUCUAGAAACAAAGGGAAUAUGUGUGGUAAACUCCUCUUCAGGAAAUGAGAUGAGGCUUUUGUUUUGCUUGGAGGAAGAACAGAUAAGCAGAAGGAUGAGCAAACACGGAAGAGGAGAGGAGGAAGAGGGAAGACUGAGACAAUGUGCAGCAAGGCAGAGGAAGCAAAGAGGAAAAGGAUGCAAUUCUUCUGAAAAUCAAACUUGCUGUUGCUAAAGAGAAAGUGGCUGCAGUUUCCUUCUGACCUGGCUGCGUAUUUCUUCAUCACUGCCUGUCCUUCAUUGAGCUAAAGGAAUCAGUGUCACACAAAAUCAUUCUGCCUUCCAAAGGUUUGGACUCUUAAAGAAGACCAUACUGCAAUGUCACCGACACGAAGGAGUGGGUAAUGCUGUUUCCUCAAGUGGCAUCCACAUUCAGGCUCCACAUGAGGAUCCUCUGACAGCUUCAGACUCUCUCACCGAGACUACAGCAGUUCCAAAUAUCACGUCUUCUCACCAUCAAGCUGAGCAGAAGAAGUGACGUCAACAUUCUGUAAUUCCCAGCAAAAGUGCUGAGAUUCUCUUCAAUUAGUCCAUCCAUAAACCAUUACUGUUUUCAGAGGGGUGCCAGGUACAGGUGCUUGGGUUUCCUGGUCAUCCCUGAUGAAAACGAUGGGACCAAGUUAUCCCAGAGAUGAGGAAGAUAGGAUAAGCUGAUUGUCUCAAGCUGAUCAGGGCCCAUCCCCUAGGCCUGAGGGUGAGCUAUAUUUCAUUCUAAACUUCUGAUGGAGGUAUAUUUCACUCCAAACUUCAGGGUCUCAUUUGGAAAGGGAGAGAUGGAAUACACAAAAGCUUACUCCGGAGAUUACGAAUAGAAGACUGAAAAUGUAAUUUAUUCAGCACUGCAUAGUAGGAAUUUAAACAAAAUAUUUACUAUGGUAAAUAUAAGUGUAUCUGCUAUGGUAGGGAAGAAAAGAGGCAUCAUCCCACCUGAUUACAUCAGUGAAGACAUCUUGAGAUGAGAAUUAAUAGAUAGGAAUAUAUUAGGUGAAUAAAGGUUUGGAAUGGGAGAGCAUUCCAGAAAGAGAAGGCAGCAUGAACAAAGGCAUAGACCCAAAUGAGGAAUAGCAAAUUGUGGCAGGGAAAUGGUAAGUCGUUUCAUGACAUUAAAAAAAUAAAAUUAGAGCUGGGAGUGGGCACUGAUGAAGCUGGAGAUGUUUAAAAUUGCCAGAUUAUUGUAGGCAAUGUCAUGGCAAGAACAAUUAAUCCUGUGGUGUUAGAGAGCCAACAAAAAUUUUUGUUAGGACGGUAUCAGGCUUGAUUUUUUAAUUAGAUAAUUCUGUGUACAGUAUAAAAAAUGGCUUUAAAAUGAUGAUGAAUAAUGUCAGGGUUCUGAUCAUACCACCCUGAACAUGCCUGAUCUAAUCUGAGCUCAG
rnacentral:lncRNA from 10 species